AGAGUUUGAUCCUGGCUCAGGAUGAACGCUGGCGGCGUGCCUAACACAUGCAAGUCGAGCGAUUCUCUUCGGAGAAGAGCGGCGGACGGGUGAGUAACGCGUGGGUAACCUGCCUCAUACACAUGGAUAACAUACCGAAAGGUAUGCUAAUACAAGAUGAUAUAAGAGAUUCGCAUGGAUUUCUUAUCAAAGCUCCGGCGGUAUGAGAUGGACCCGCGUCUGAUUAGCUAGUUGGUAAGGUAACGGCUUACCAAGGCGACGAUCAGUAGCCGACCUGAGAGGGUGAUCGGCCACAUUGGAACUGAGACACGGUCCAAACUCCUACGGGAGGCAGCAGUGGGGAAUAUUGCACAAUGGGCGAAAGCCUGAUGCAGCAACGCCGCGUGAGCGAUGAAGGCCUUCGGGUCGUAAAGCUCUGUCCUCAAGGAAGAUAAUGACGGUACUUGAGGAGGAAGCCCCGGCUAACUACGUGCCAGCAGCCGCGGUAAUACGUAGGGGGCUAGCGUUAUCCGGAUUUACUGGGCGUAAAGGGUGCGUAGGUGGUUUCUUAAGUCAGGAGUGAAAGGCUACGGCUCAACCGUAGUAAGCUCUUGAAACUGGGAAACUUGAGUGCAGGAGAGGAAAGUGGAAUUCCUAGUGUAGCGGUGAAAUGCGUAGAUAUUAGGAGGAACACCAGUAGCGAAGGCGGCUUUCUGGACUGUAACUGACACUGAGGCACGAAAGCGUGGGGAGCAAACAGGAUUAGAUACCCUGGUAGUCCACGCCGUAAACGAUGAGUACUAGGUGUCGGGGGUUACCCCCCUCGGUGCCGCAGCUAACGCAUUAAGUACUCCGCCUGGGGAGUACGCUCGCAAGAGUGAAACUCAAAGGAAUUGACGG
rnacentral:rRNA from 1 species